CGCGCGGGUGAGUAACACGUAUCCAACCUGCCGUCUACUCUUGGACAGCCUUCUGAAAGGAAGAUUAAUACAAGAUGGCAUCAUGAGUCCGCAUGUUCACAUGAUUAAAGGUAUUCCGGUAGACGAUGGGGAUGCGUUCCAUUAGAUAGUAGGCGGGGUAACGGCCCACCUAGUCUUCGAUGGAUAGGGGUUCUGAGAGGAAGGUCCCCCACAUUGGAACUGAGACACGGUCCAA
rnacentral:rRNA from 1 species